rnacentral:rRNA from 1 species
GAUGAACGCUGGCGGCGUGCUUAACACAUGCAAGUCGAACGAGAGAAGAUUGGUGCUUGCCCUGAUCCGAUCGAGUGGCGGACGGGUGAGUAACGCGUGGGUAACCUGCCUCAUUCAGGGGAAUAACAGUUGGAAACGGGUGCUAAAACCGCAUAAGCGCCCAGUAUCGCAUGAUACAGUGUGAAAAACUCCGGUGGUAUGAGAUGGACCCGCGUUUGAUUAGCUAGUUGGUGAGGUAACGGCCCCCCAAGGCAACGAUCAGUAGCCGGCCUGAGAGGGUGAACGGCCCCCUUGGGACUGAGACCCGGCCCCAACUCCUUCGGGAGGCAGCCGUGGGGAAUAUUGCCCAAUGGGGGAAACCCUGAUGCAGCGACGCCGCGUGAGUGAUGAAGUAUUUCGGUAUGUAAAGCUUUAUCAGCCGGGAAGAAAAUGACGGUAACUGGGUAAGAAGCCCCGGCUAACUACGUG